AGUGAACGCUGGCGGUAGGCCUAACACAUGCAAGUCGAACGGCAGCACAGUAAGAGCUUGCUCUUACGGGUGGCGAGUGGCGGACGGGUGAGGAAUACAUCGGAAUCUACUUUUUCGUGGGGGAUAACGUAGGGAAACUUACGCUAAUACCGCAUACGACCUACGGGUGAAAGCAGGGGAUCUUCGGACCUUGCGCGAUUGAAUGAGCCGAUGUCGGAUUAGCUAGUUGGCGGGGUAAAGGCCCACCAAGGCGACGAUCCGUAGCUGGUCUGAGAGGAUGAUCAGCCACACUGGAACUGAGACACGGUCCAGACUCCUACGGGAGGCAGCAGUGGGGAAUAUUGGACAAAGGGCGCAAGCCUGAUCCAGCCAUACCGCGUGGGUGAAGAAGGUCUUCGGGUUGUAAAGCCCUUUUGUUGGGAAAGAAAAGCAGCAGGUUAAUACCCCGCUGUUCUGACGGUACCCAAAGAAUAAGCACCGGCUAACUUCGUG
rnacentral:rRNA from 1 species